rnacentral:misc_RNA from 1 species
GAAACGCGAUAGCUAGUGUGAAUUGCAGAAUCUCAGUGAAUCAUCGAGUCUUUGAACGCACAUUGCGCCCGGCGGCACUCCGCCGGGCACGCCCGUCCGAGCGUCAUAUCCAGCACCCCGCGGCCCCAGGCCCGGCGUUGGGCCGUCUCCCCCCCGGCGGGCGCCUGUCGAGAGGCAGGCGCCCGCCGCGAGAGGCCCCAAACCCAUCGGCGGCGCUGCCCCGGACCGCGCGCGCAGUAUGCACUGUACGCUCGCGACGCGACCCGGGACGCGCGCUGGCCACGCCAGCGGGCCGCCCCAGCGCGGCCCACACGCAAGCUUGACCUCGGAUCGGGCGGGGAUACCCGCUGAACUUAA